rnacentral:rRNA from 1 species
UGUCCUACGGGAGGCAGCAGUGAGGAAUAUUGGUCAAUGGUCGGGAGACUGAACCAGCCAAGCCGCGUGAGGGAUGAAGGUACAGAGUAUCGUAAACCUCUUUUGUCAGGGAACAAAGGCGGGGACGUGUCCCCGGAUGAGUGUACCUGAAGAAGAAGCAUCGGCUAACUCCGUGCCAGCAGCCGCGGUAAUACGGAGGAUUCGAGCGUUAUCCGGAUUUAUUGGGUUUAAAGGGUGCGUAGGCUGUCGGAUAAGUUAGAGGUCAAAUGUCGGGGCUUAACCCCGUGCCUGCCUCUGAUACUGUU